ACUCUCAUAACUAGUUUUGUGAAGAUAAU
rnacentral:guide_RNA from 1 species